UUCCUACAAAACUAUAAAGGAUACCUAUUUUUUUUUUCCCCAGUAAUAAGUCAUGACAGACAUUUAGACACACACAGAGUGAGACCUCCCCAUGAGUUUUCUUUUGACAUUGCUUGAAUCAGGCUCUAUGUUUAAAGAAAAAAAAUUCCUACACUACUUCCCUGUAUUUUUAAAUGAAUGUCAUCCAAAUGGCGUUGCCAUUCGAACACUGCAGUGAAAAUUCUUAGCAUGCUCACAGCGCAGUGUGGGAAUCUCUGAAAUUGUCCCCCGCAGGUUUGAAUGCAGCUCCUGCAGGUUCACUUGAGCUUCAUUUCGCUAAUCACACAGGGACAGUUAUUUUUUGUUCUCACUCAGCUCCUCUUUCACAUGCAGGCGCACACACGCCACACACACUCUCAGGCUGCAUCUCUCCCGCUUCGUGGCACUUAAGUCCAGAUUAGCUCUGACCAUUCCUGCAUGCAAGCGGAGAGCGAGCAGCACAACACCCCAGUGCCUAAGACCUUAGAAGCUGCCACAGAGGCGGGGGCAGAGAUCGUCUUCAAGGCUGCUGUCAUCUGGAAUUUUAUGUACUUCAUUUUCUUUCACUCUGUAUGCCUGUCACAUCGGCUUAACUCCAACACUCAGUCUGCUGUCUCCAUAUUCAAGCACCUUGCUCACUGGCCUGCUUUUCCUUCUCAGUUUGGGAUAGGUGGGUUAACUUUAUGCAUGCUCACUACCUUUGGGGAAAAAAAAAAAAAAAAAGGUUGUGCGAUGACUAUUAUUAAUAAUGAAUAGUUAUAGGGCAAAUCUUUAUGCCUACAGUGCCAACAACAAUGGCAAGGCACUAUUUGUGCCACCUUGCUAUGCAAACAAAACCGCAAGAGAGCACGGCAAGGCUUUAGGAGUGUUAUUUUUCGUUUAACAUAUCUGACAGUAUUAGGUUAAAAUUUUAAGGCCAACCUAAUUUUUCCAGUAUGAACUUUUAUUUUUUUAUGGUCUUCUUUAAAUCAUCACAUUGCUCAACGUGGUAUCACUGCCAUCUGCAAAGAAAUUCUGCUGCUGAGUCAAAACUAAUUUGUAUUGGUAAAGUGUAGGAAUGUAAAAGUUUUUCCUGGACUGCUGAAUUUUUAGGGCAUGUUUGCCUGCUGUAUGUGGAAAUAAUGCUAAAGUACAAAACAACAGAAGAAGAACUAAACGUAACAGCAAGUGCAACACUGGGUGUCACCUGGAAGGUGAACAUGAGAGCACCUAGAGCUGCUGGGAGCUGGGUCAACAGCACCAAUCAGCUGAUGCAGUAGAAAUUGGGAAGGAAAGGACCUGACAGAAACAGGAAGGGUAUAAAGGUCAAAUGAAAGGAUAAGUAACACUGAAGAGUUGACAAGUUACUAAAUGAUGAUGCAAAUUACAGCCUUCUGUAUGCCCCUCAUAUUUCAUAGCCUCAACUCUACAUACAUCAGGGAGAUUAUAACUGCCUAUUUCUCAAAAAGAUCUGUGGCUGGCCCAUUGAAAAAGGUGCCACCUGCGUUGUAAGGACUGAAGUCAAGCCCUGAGUCACUGCUUCACCAUGGCAAAACACAACACAGGAGUCAAUGUGCAGUGGUGCUCCCAAGUUUGGUGGGCAUGGUGCAGGAGAUUUGUGACACAGUGAUCCUGAGAACCCCUUUCAGUGGGCAACUGCUGCUCAGGGUGGUAUGGAAAGCCCUCUGGGGAAACAUUCUGAAUUCUCUGCCAUCCCCUCUGUCCCUCCUAAGUACAGUUGUAACCAAGAGAGAGGCAGGAUUUUGAAGACUCGUUAUCUGUGCAUUGGUCCCUUCUGCUCUGUUGCCAGCUCUGGGACGAUCAUGCCUUCCCAGUGGAAAGUGUUGCAUGUACCAAGAAAAGAGGCAGAGGGGUCAGAGCAGUGAAUGAGUACAUGUACCUCAUACCAUCUCUCUGCUGUCUUCAGCAUUACAAAAAGUACUCACUGUUUUAUAGCCAUCUCAUAUUUCUCAAGCAUUUGGAACCUCCACCCCAUCCAAGGCAGCUCACUUUGGGAACCCCCAAGAUCAUGGUGUAGUUUAGUGGAGCUGAGCAGAGGGCAACCAAAGUGGGAAAGAGGGGACAGUGCUCUGCUUUGGCUGUGGUCAUGCAGCCCCCUUCUUCCCUGCAGUGAGGUACCCUCUGGAGAUAGAUGCUGCCACAUCUAGGGCAUGCACUGGAGACAUGCAUGCACAUACAUCCACACUCCUACCUUAUGACAGUACAAGAGCUGUCCAAAACUAUUUUCAAUAAUUGAUUUGCUGUUUAAUUGAACAUCAUGACUGACUAACAUAGCUCAUUACUUUACUCAUUAGUUAAUUAUCGGAGAAAGUAGGACAAGUCAAUAAAAUGGAAGGCUGUAAAUUCCA
rnacentral:lncRNA from 1 species